rnacentral:lncRNA from 1 species
CUCUGACCUGCAAUCCUGGGGUUAGGGGAGAGGGGUGAGCUAGAAAGCCCAGUGAGUAGAAACUAUAAAACAUUACGUUUAAAACAUAUGCAUACAUGGAAUGCAUCACAUCACAGCAAAUCAUAUCAAGGAUAGAGUUGUCACCGAUAGCCCUCUACAAGUCUAAGGUGCCCGACUCUCGUCGGGGCUCCCUAGAACCUCUUCUCAAGAUAACAUGUCCGACUAUGCCAGGGGCGAUUAGGCCACCCUGGACUUCUCUAUCAUCUCAUAACAUGUCCGACUAUGCCAGGGGCGAUUAGGCCACCCUAGACUUCUCUGUUACCUCAUGACAUAUUACCAGGGGUGAUACGGCCCACUGGUCUUUCUAUCUCGUAUCAUAUAGUAUCAUGUCAUAUCAUACCAUCUCAUACAUAUCAUCUCAUAUAUAUCAUCUCAUGUCACGUUGAGGGCUACGGAUCACUCAACAUCCAUCCACAUCAACAACACAUUAUGCAGUGCAUCAUAUUCGUGAGUUCUAAUGCAACAACCUAAAAUAUAUCAUGGCAUUCGUGAUGCAUGAAACAUGCUAAAAUACAUUUAAUUUCUCAAUUUAAAAGAUUUAAGUUAGUUCCAC